AGUGAACGCUGGCGGUAGGCCUAACACAUGCAAGUCGAACGGCAGCACAGUAAGAGCUUGCUCUUACGGGUGGCGAGUGGCGGACGGUUGCUGAGUACAUCGGAAUCUACUUUUUCGUGGGUGAUAACGUAGGGAAACUUACGCUAUUACCGCAUACGACCUACGGGUGAAAUCAGGGGAUCUUCGGCCCUUGCGCGAUUGAAUGAGCCGAUGUCGGAUUAGCUAGUUGGCGGGGUAAAGGCCCACCAAGGCGUCGAUCCGUAGCUGGUCUGAGAGGAUGAUCAGCCACACUGGAACUGAGACACGGUCCAGACUCCUACGGGAGGCAGCAGUGGGGAAUAUUGGACAAUGGGCGCAAGCCUGAUCCAGCCAUACCGCGUGGGUGAAGAAGGCCUUCGGGUUGUAAAGCCCUUUUGUUGGGAAAGAAAAGCAGCAGGUUAAUACCCCGCUGUUCUGACGGUACCAAAAGAAUAAGCACCGGCUAACUUCGUG
rnacentral:rRNA from 1 species